GAAAGUCUACAAAACUAGAAAGUCACAAUCAACAUUCAUUCUGUCGGUGGGUUGUGAUGCUGGAGGAGAACCUCACUGAUCAGUGAAUGCAACUGUGGCUGGAAGAAACUCGUGGUCAGCAC
rnacentral:precursor_RNA from 11 species